AACGUAGGUGGCAAGCGUUAUCCGGAAUUACUGGGCGUAAAGGGUGUGCAGGCGGGGAAGCAAGUGGUGUAUGAAAUCUCCCAGCUUAACUGGGAUAGGUUAUUCCAUACUGCUUUUCUAGAGGACGAGAGAGGGGGGUGGAAUUCCGGGUGUAGUGGUGAAAUGCGUAGAGAUCCGGAGGAACCCCAGAGGCGAAGGCGGCCCCCUGGCUCGUACCUGACGCUCAGCCACGAAAGCAUGGGGAGCGAACGGG
rnacentral:rRNA from 1 species